rnacentral:rRNA from 1 species
GCGCGAAAACUUUACAAUGCGGGAAACCGUGAUAAGGGAACCUCGAGUGCCUGUAUAUGCAGGCUGUCCAGGUGUCUAAAAAACACCUGAAGAAAGGGCCGGGCAAGACCGGUGCCAGCCGCCGCGGUAAUACCGGCGGCUCGAGUGGUGGCCACUUUUAUUGGGCUUAAAGCGUUCGUAGCUGGGUUGUUAAGUCUCUUGGGAAAUCUGACGGCUCAACCGUCAGGCGUCCAAGGGAUACUGGCAAUCUUGGAACCGGGAGAGGUGAGGGGUACUUCGGGGGUAGGAGUGAAAUCCUGUAAUCCUCGAGGGACCACCUGUGGCGAAGGCGCCUCACCAGAA